AAUGAACGCUGGCGGUAGGCCUAACACAUGCAAGUCGAACGGCAGCACAGUAAGAGCUUGCUCUUACGGGUGGCGAGUGGCGGACGGGUGAGGAAUACAUCGGAAUCUACUUUUUCGUGGGGGAUAACGUAGGGAAACUUACGCUAAUACCGCAUACGACCUACGGGUGAAAGCAGGGGAUCUUCGGACCUUGCGCGAUUGAAUGAGCCGAUGUCGGAUUAGCUAGUUGGCGGGGUAAAGGCCCACCAAGGCGACGAUCCGUAGCUGGUCUGAGAGGAUGAUCAGCCACACUGGAACUGAGACACGGUCCAGACUCCUACGGGAGGCAGCAGUGGGGAAUAUUGGACAAUGGGCGCAAGCCUGAUCCAGCCAUACCGCGUGAGUGAAGAAGGCCUUCGGGUUGUAAAGCCCUUUUGUUGGGAAAGAAAAGCAGCAGGUUAAUACCCCGCUGUUCUGACGGUACCCAAAGAAUAAGCACCGGCUAACUUCGUG
rnacentral:rRNA from 1 species